UACGGGGGGAGCAAGCGUUGUUCGGAUUUACUGGGCGUAAAGGGCGCGUAGGCGGUCAGCACAAGUCAGUUGUGAAAUCUCCGGGCUUAACUCGGAAAGGUCAACUGAUACUGUGCGACUAGAGUGCGGAAGGGGCAACUGGAAUUCUCGGUGUAGCGGUGAAAUGCGUAGAUAUCAGGAAGAACACCCGUGGCGAAGGCGGUUCUCUGGGACGGUACUGACGCUGAGACGCGAAAGCGUGGGGAGCGAACAGG
rnacentral:rRNA from 1 species